CCUACGGGCGGCAGCAGUGAGGAAUAUUGCGCAAUGGGGGCAACCCUGACGCAGCGACGCCGCGUGGAUGAUGAAGGCCUUCGGGUUGUAAAAUCCUGUCAGAUGGGAAGAAGUGCUAUAGCGUUAAUAUCGGUAUAGUUUGACGGUACCAUCAAAGGAAGCACCGGCUAACUCCGUGCCAGCAGCCGCGGUAAUACGGAGGGUGCAAGCGUUGUUCGGAAUUACUGGGCGUAAAGCGCGCGUAGGCGGCUAUUCAAGUCAGAUGUGAAAGCCCGCGGCUCAACCGUGGAAGUGCAUUUGAAACUGGGUGGCUUGAGUACUGGAGGGGGUAGUGGAAUUCCCGGUGUAGAGGUGAAAUUCGUAGAUAUCGGGAGGAAUACCGGUGGCGAAGGCGACUACCUGGCCAGAUACUGACGCUGAGGUGCGAAAGCGUGGGGAGCAAACAGGAUUAGAUACCCUUGUAGUC
rnacentral:rRNA from 1 species